AUCUCUCUCUUCAUCUGUCUUUCUCUUUCUGCUAUGCGUCUCUCUCUUGACCAUUCGCUUCUUUUGCUUUGCAGGUCGUGAUCGAUAACGUCGUCUGCUCUCCACUGCGACUUUACUCAAGGUUUCUGAGCUCGCCAUCUCGUCGGGCCGUCGUGAUCAAACCCACCGAAACCCUAAGCUUGCUCCUUCUGCAACAAAACCUCCAAAGCCGCGAAGGCCUCUGCAACAGUUGGUCUGAAAUUUCUUUUCUUUUUUAUGUUCUUUAUGAUUUACCUAUUAUAUUGUUUCAAUUUGAUUAUGAGUUGUUGCUCUGUUUGGAUUAUGCUGGUUGUCUAUUCAUAUAGAUUUUUAUUUUCUGGAGUGCAUUUCUUUCAUAAGAACUCUGGUCAGUCCCCUUUCUCAGUCUCAGGCUUUAAUUUCUCGAACAGAGAUGAGAGAUGGUUUGUGGUUCGUGAAUUUUAAGUUCCGUUUGGUUUUCGCUUUAAAAUUGCUACUUUAUCAAAUGCUUUGGUUUAAUUGGUUGAGUAUUGGCCAAUGCUUGGGUGGUGGUUGAGCUCAUGAAAUAUGGUUUGGAUUUUCAUGUCUGCUUUCCUUAGUUGCAGCUAGGUGUGUAAGCUUUUCCUUAGUUACUGCUUCAGAAGUAAAUUCCGCUUGAUUUCUGCAUUUUGGUGUAUAAACCACAAUAAUUCAGUGCUUAGUAUUGUGAAGUUGUUAUCCAAUUAGAAUGAGUAUUGUACCAAUGUUGAUGAUCAUGUCUAGCGUGUUAGAAAUGGAUAAGAUAAGUGAACCAUAUUGCUGAGAUUACUGUCAUUACUGAGAUUAUUGCACUUUUUGAUGUGAUUUCCCCCCCACCCCUCUCUUUUUUUACACUAACACUGGUACUUUCCUUUCUUGACUUUGUGGUGCUAAGGGUUGCAUUUGUUUGCCAAAUAUUUAGGUAUUGCGUGCUAAGAAUCAUUUAUUUUACUUUUUAUUUUUUCUUAAUUUGUGCGGCUGUAUUUUACCUGAAAUUAGAGUUCCUCUUUCUCUUUGACAUGUUGUGAUAAGUUUAAUGGGUGAUUUGCGUUUUAUAAAUAUAAAGUGAAGGUCUUGGGAUAAUUUGUUCAUGAUCCAAUUCUAUCAAUAUAUGUUUUGCAAUUUUCUGCAUAGUGUACCAAAUCUUAAGUGAAGGCACUUAACUGUUAUCAUGACAUGGUAUUCUUCAGCAUCGCAGUGUGGUUUUAAGAUGUUCACUAGGGCUGCUGCAAGAAAGUUUUUCACUAACAUCCGUUUGAACGGGUAAUUCCACUUUAGAUUGUAUAGAUAGCAUUCUGUUUGAACAAGUAACUGCACUUCAAAUAGCAAUUUGCAAUAGUUUAUGCUUACCUCUGUUGC